UGCACAUUUUGCCAAUCCACACGCCGAAGAAUUAAGUAGCAUCUGUAAACUACGCCCCUCGCGUUAAGCACUAGCACUCGUUAAGUACUGUGCAACCGCGACGAGCAGUGUAGAGCUGCAGCGCGGAUCAACCACAGACGACUGUCCCAGUUUUGUUGCAAACCGCAAAUGAAGAAACUAGCGUUGUGUAGCCGCGCCAACGAAUACAAUGACCACGACUGUAGGCAAGUCGAAGAAAGCUGCGAGGAUGUCAAGCCUUCAGAAUGCAAUAUAUAAUAUGCUUCGCAACACCUGUAAAAUAUAAGAAUUUGGAUGAGUUUAUGCUCUGACUCAUGUGUGCCCUUGAUCUUAUUUUUAUGAAGUUUGGUAUCAAAUUGUUGGCUGAUAAGAAAGUCACAAAUCCUGGCACAGAAGCAUUUAAAAAAAAAGAACAAAAAAAUUGAAACUAGACAAAAGAAAAAAAAUCGUUGACAGAAGAAAUUUUCACUUCGACUAGUUUAGAUGUAUUUUUAUAAUAAAAAUUUGUAAAUUUUAAUAAAAUAAACUAUUGUAAAUUCUUGUGCUAUUUUCAUGUAACUAAAAUUGUAAUCACAAAAUAAUAAAAAUAUUAAAAAACACCCUCCUCCCUGCUAUUCCUGAAUAUUUAAAAGGGCCGUUAAUUUUAAUUUCAAGAUGUGUUCACCGUGUGGUCCUAUGGUUUGCUAUAAAUACGAAGACUGUGGUCCUCCGCUACAGUGUCUACCGCGAUCUGCGUUCAAGCGCAAUGGACUGCAAGAUUGCCAGUUCUUCCAGCAGGGUUCUAUACGGUACCUGUGCCGGGCAGACUGCUGCUGCCCCCGGCCGUGUCCGCCGUGCUGUCCGCCGUGCGUGCGACGCCCACCUCCCGGCAAGACCUACGUCACACGCUUCAGCGACUUCGACCUUAUAUCACAAUGGUAGUGAUAAAGGCCUUUUCGCGACGUCGUCCUCUACCCCUUGCCUCUUGAACAUCGAAAGGUAAGCCUUCGGAUGGAGGUAACAGAGUGGUGGAGGAAGGCGAAGAAAAAAAGAGUGAAAAGGAAAAUCAGUUGAAGCGAAUCAAGAGUCGCGAGUUACGUGGUGGCAUCAUGUACUACAGUUGUCAUUGUAUUAAG
rnacentral:misc_RNA from 1 species